rnacentral:rRNA from 1 species
UACGUAGGAUGCAAGCGUUGUCCGGAAUUAUUGGGCGUAAAGAGCGCGCAGGCGGUUUUACAAGUCAGAUGUGAAAUAUCCGGGCUUAACCCGGAGGGGUCAUUUGAAACUGUGAGACUAGAGUACAGCAGAGGAUAGCGGAAUUCCCGGUGUAGUGGUGAAAUGCGUAGAUAUCGGGAGGAACACCAGUGGCGAAGGCGGCUUCCUGGCCUGUUCUUGACGCUGAGGCGCGAAAGCUAGGGGAGCAAACGGG